rnacentral:rRNA from 1 species
GACGAACGCUGGCGGCGUGCUUAACACAUGCAAGUCGAACGGAAAGGCCCUGCUUUUGUGGGGUGCUCGAGUGGCGAACGGGUGAGUAACACGUGAGUAACCUGCCCUUGACUUUGGGAUAACUUCAGGAAACUGGGGCUAAUACCGGAUAGGAGCUCCUGCUGCAUGGUGGGGGUUGGAAAGUUUCGGCGGUUGGGGAUGGACUCGCGGCUUAUCAGCUUGUUGGUGGGGUAGUGGCUUACCAAGGCUUUGACGGGUAGCCGGCCUGAGAGGGUGACCGGCCACAUUGGGACUGAGAUACGACCCAGACUACUACGGGAGGCAGCAGUGGGGAAUAUUGCACAAUGGGCGGAAGCCUGAUGCAGCAACGCCGCGUGCGGGAUGACGGCCUUCGGGUUGUAAACCGCUUUCGCCUGUGACGAAGCGUGAGUGACGGUAAUGGGUAAAGAAGCACCGGCUAACUACGUG